GUCCUGGCCGUAAACGAUGUCCACUAGAUUGGGGAUCUUUUGACAGAUUCCUAGUCGAAGCAAAAGCGUUAAGUGGACCGCCUGGGUAGUACGGUCGCAAGGCUAAAACUCAAAGGAAUUGACGGGGGCUCACACAAGCGGUGGAGCAUGUUGCUCAAUUCGAUGCAACGCGAAGAACCUUAUCCUGGGGCUUGAAAAGCACGGAUGUGGCCGCUGAAAGGCGUGUCCACUACCCUUCGGGGCGAAACGUGUACAGGUGCUGCAUGGCUGUCGU
rnacentral:rRNA from 1 species